rnacentral:rRNA from 1 species
UGAGGAAUAUUGGGCAAUGCCCGCAAGGGUGACCCAGCAACGCCGCGUGGAGGAUGAAUGUCGUAAGAUUGUAAACUCCUGUUAGAGGGGAAGAAUAGUACCGGUUGGACCGGUAUAUGACUGUACCCUCAGAGAAAGCCCCGGCUAACUACGUGCCAGCAGCCGCGGUAAUACGUAGGGGGCAAGCGUUGUCCGGAUUUACUGGGUGUAAAGGGCGCGCAGGCGGGAUAAAAAGUCAGUGGUGAAAUCCUACAGCUUAACUGUAGAACUGCCUUUGAUACUUUUAUUCUUGAGUUCGGGAGAGAGAGACGGAAUUCCAGGUGUAGUGGUGAAAUACGUAGAUAUCUGGAAGCACACCAGUUGCGAAGGCGGUCUCUUGGUCCGACACUGACGCUGAGGCGCGAAAGCGUGGGGAGCAAACA